rnacentral:lncRNA from 1 species
UGGGUUUGCAUCGUUCUUCUGCCGGAGAACACGAGAAGCGACGGAGGAGGCGCCUUCAGGACAGAGAGAGAGACGUCGUCUGUGGUGGGAUUGGAACCUUCUUGUGACGGAACAAAAGAAGCGUUAUCCUUGGUGAUGGGUUUCGAUCGGUGGAGAAGACGGAGAAGACGGAGAAGACGGAGGAGACGCCAUGAAGAGCGGGAGAAUCGUCGUCUUCGUGAUGGGUUUCGAUCCCUCCUCCGUCACGGAGAAGAGGAGAAGAUGAAAACGAACGCGAGACGGAGGAUCAGUAUGGAGGAUCGGUGUUGAGGAUCUGUGUGGAAGAUCGGUGGUGGGUUUGGAUCAAUCGUCGGUUUCGACUUUCUUUGGACGGAGAACACGAGAAGACAAGAAGUGAGAGGAGGGAAGAAAGAAC